UGACCUCAAAUCAGGUAGGACUACCCGCUGAACUUAAGCAUAUCAAUAAGCGGAGGAAAAGAAACUAACAAGGAUUCCCCUAGUAACUGCGAGUGAAGCGGGAAAAGCUCAAAUUUAAAAUCUGGCGGUCUUUGGCCGUCCGAGUUGUAAUCUAGAGAAGUAAUGCCCGUGCUGGACCGUGUAUAAGUCUCCUGGGAUGGGGCGUCAUAGAGGGUGAGAAUCCCGUCUUUGACACGGACUACCAGUGCAUUGUGGUAUGCUCUCAAAGAGUCGAGUUGUUUGGGAAUGCAGCUCAAAAUGGGUGGUAAAUUCCAUCUAAAGCUAAAUAUUGGCGAGAGACCGAUAGCGAACAAGUACCGUGAGGGAAAGAUGAAAAGU
rnacentral:ncRNA from 1 species